AGUAAAUAUUAAAUAAUAGGUAUUAGGUAAUUACUAUUUACUAAUUAGUAUAACCAUAUGUCCAUAUCGUCUAUUAGUAAACUAUGAUCACAAUAUUUUAGUGUACAAAAAUGGUUAGUAGGUAGAUACAAAUGGAGACAGAAGGUAUCCAAAUUGACGAACCGAUGUUCCAAGGAAAAUAAAAUACUAUAGAGAAGGUCUUCAUUAUGAUUUGUGAACUGUGAAGAUAAAUAAAUUUCUAGAUUUACCAAAGAGAAAACAGAAUAUACUUAAAAUAUAAAUUUAAAGAGUGUAUAACCCAUUAACCAGUAUAAGUACCUUCAAGGCCUUACUGCAGACCCAUAGCCAAUAUUUGGGUUAACGGAUUAUGCUGUCCUUGUUCUGAAGACAUUUUAAGAAGAUUUUAUUUUUUUGUAUUUGUUUUGAUUGAGCAUUAUUAUAACACAAAUAACUACAAAAUUACAACUAGAUGAUCACUUCAGAUGAUAUGCAACAAUUGCAAACUUUCGGAGGAAUUUAAAAUUUCGUUAAUAAAAAACUUAUACCCAGAAGAAUACAAGAUUGAAACUAAAGAUAUAGGUACAAGCAUAAGCCAUAAGGUACUAAUAAUUAAUGUCACAAAUUAAUCCUACUUAAGUAGGAACAGUAUUCACUGGUGAUCAAUGAACUCUCCAAAAACGUUUGAAAGGAAAAAAAAUAAAUACCCAAUUAUUGGUCUACUGAGCGCACACGAAUUGCUUCCCAUGAAUUUUUUUUGGAAAAGUUACUCGAACUGCCUCUUGACUCAAAAAUAUUAUUCACUUGGAUUGCCUCAUAUUUCAGGUAAUGACCCUCCUGGAAUCGGCUUCAAUACAGUGGCGUACCAAUAGGGUGGCAUGACGGGCAAGUGCCACGGGCCCAGGGCCCCAGAACGCCGGGGAGGGCCCUUCAAAAAAUGUAGCAAUUUAAAUAAAACAGAUUACCGUUA